UACGUAGGGUGCAAGCGUUAAUCGGAAUUACUGGGCGUAAAGCGUCCGCAGGCGGUUCGGGAAGAAAGAUGUGAAAUCCCAGGGCUUAACCUUGGAACUGCAUUUUUAACUACCGGGCUAGAGUGUGUCAGAGGGGGGUGGAAUUCCGCGUGUAGCAGUGAAAUGCGUAGAGAUGUGGAGGAAUACCGAUGGCGAAGGCAGCCCCCUGGGAUAAUACUGACGCUCAUGCACGAAAGCGUGGGGAGCAAACAGG
rnacentral:rRNA from 1 species